GUUUUUAUUUUGGCUGCACAUAUACUAAAACUAGAAAGAUACAGAGAAUAUUAGGAUGGCCCCGGAGCAAGAACAACACUCAAAUUUAUGACAAGUACAAUAUUCAA
ensembl:snRNA U6 U6 spliceosomal RNA